ACCCCAAUCAGGAUCAUCAAACAUUGCAGUGAAUUCUGCUAAAGACACUAAUGACGUGUCCAUCUCCCCGUGAAUUUCUAGCAUUUCACUUGCUCCUUGGGAAGGAAUGUAAAUAGCUCUCAGAAGUUUGAUGUACCUUUGAGCAUCAGUUUUCCUUAUUUGGUUGCUACCUUCAUUCACAGGACGCCACAAAAGCGCCUCAUAUGCAACGCGUUUUCUUUUGUCUGGUGAUCCUCCACAGACAGGAGCAAGAACAGCAAAGAACAUGCCCAAAUCCAGCCGACCUGAUUCUGACUCAUCUAAAACAGAGAGAACUUUCUGGUUAAUGGCUUUAACAGCACCUAUAAAGGUUUCAGGCUUCAAGAAUUUAAGCAAUCUGUGCAGAAUCUCUUCCAGUGAAGCCUUGCGUAUUGACUUUUCA
rnacentral:misc_RNA from 1 species